UACGUAGGCAGCGAGCGUUGUUCGGAAUUACUGGGCGUAAAGAGUGUGUAGGCGGUGUUCCAAGUUCGGUGUGAAAUCUCCCGGCUUAACUGGGAGGGUGCGCCGAAAACUGGAAUGCUCGAGCGUGGGAGAGGGAAAGCGGAAGUUCCUGGUGUAGCGGUGAAAUGCGUAGAUAUCAGGAGGAACACCAGCGGUGUAGACGGCUUUCUGGACCAUUGCUGACGCUGAGACACGAAAGCGUGGGUAGCAAACAGG
rnacentral:rRNA from 1 species